CAAAUCACCAUCCUGUUAAUCUUAUUUACCCAUAACUGGUUAGAAAGUAUUACAAUAAUUUACCUAAAUUCUGAAUUUGCUUUAAUGCGUGAAAAAUCAACAUUGAAGGCGUUUUGAAUUUCUACAAUCGGAGAACCAAAUCAAUUUACACCCUAUUUAAGACCGAAACCAAUUUGACCGAGCCUCUGCCAACUAUUUAAAUAGCACGAUUCGAGCAUCGAUGCAUCAGAUAAGUUUUUCGGAUCUUUUCAAAAUGAACCACCGAAUCAUUCUCAUUUGUGCUAUUCUUGUGCUUGGCCUGGUAUUGGUCAAUGCCCAGGGACCUUUGGGAAACGUAAUGACCAUGAUUAAGGGCAGAAGGUCAAUUGCUGAAGAACCGGAACGACAAGAAGAGUCAGCAUGGAAAGCACCACGAGAGCACAAGCGAACAGAUCCACAGCCGCCAUUUUGAAUGUGAUUAUAAAUUAAAAUGUUAUAUGAGAAUAGAAUCGAAGUAACAGGUUUUCGAUUUGGAAAUCCUAGUGAAA